rnacentral:rRNA from 1 species
CAGUCGCCACGGGAAUACGUAGGGUGCAAGCGUUGUCCGGAAUUAUUGGGCGUAAAGAGCUCGUAGGCGGUUUGUCGCGUCUGCUGUGAAAUCCCGAGGCUCAACCUCGGGCUUGCAGUGGGUACGGGCAGACUAGAGUGCGGUAGGGGAGAUUGGAAUUCCUGGUGUAGCGGUGGAAUGCGCAGAUAUCAGGAGGAACACCGAUGGCGAAGGCAGAUCUCUGGGCCGUAACUGACGCUGAGGAGCGAAAGCGUGGGGAGCGAACAGGAUUAGAUACCCCAGUAGUCCCUGUCUCUUAUAC